CGUUACAAAAAAAAGUGCAUUAUUUGUAACGGACACUAGUUGUCCGAUACAAAUAAUUUUCUCUCUCUUUCUCUCUUCCUCCUUCAAUGGCGAAUUUACCCUAACUUUACUCUCCUUACCUCCAUUUUCUCUCUCCUACAGCCAUUGGUGAACCUCCCUUCAUUUUCACCUCCAAUUUCACCGCCUAAUUAUCUCUUGUUCUGCUAACCCCUAAGUAUUGAAGUCAAAUCGCCGCUCUCUUGUGUACAGUUCUACACCAAACUCCACGAAGUUCUCAUUAGAGAGCUUUGCUAAUGGUGCGUAGCCGUUUUUGGUGAGAAGGGAAGAAGGAUUAGCCGAUUAGGGAUCCGAGCUCAAUUUUGCAGAAGAAUUUAAAUUGCGCUAUUACUUGGUGCGAUUUCCUCUUCACAAGCGUUUUAGAGAUCUUGUUCUCAUCUACUCACUUAUGGGUUUUUGAUCUUGCGGGAUGAAGAAGAUACUUUAGACAAAGUUGCCUUAGAAAGGGAGAAUGCUGGUUAUCGGUUGUAUAUGAGGGAUGUUACUGGUGGUCAUGAUUCCCAUUUCAGCGCUUUGGAUGACCUCCUUGGUGCAGUUGGGAUUCUUGGGACCAAGGGGGAGGAUCCUCGUGCCCUAAUCGCCAUGCUGCAAGGAUUAGACUGAAAGAAGAUGAUGCAAAAGUUGCUGCACAGGCAGAGCAUAAACGGGAGCAGUCUCCUUCAGCUACUGAAAGAGAUUCUUUUGUCUCAACUGGAGGUCUUGACAAACUGAAGCCUAUAUUCUGAAUAAGCAGUGUUUUCUCAGUACAAAUUAAUAGACUCCAAAAAAUUUUCUAAAGUAAAGAUUUCUUAUCAAAAUUCCAGCUUUUGUUCUAUCAUAAUUAUGAAGUAUAUCUUGACAGCCUUGUUUGAACAGUUCUGAUUUUCUCUUGGAGUGAUCCUACUGAAUCUAAGUGAGCUCAUAUAACUUAUUUGAAUGUUUA